AGGAAGAUAGAGAAAGAAUGGUGAUUCGAAAGUUUAAGUUUGAGGACCCACGCAUUGAGCAGAUUCAAGAUCUAGAGAGUGAUAUGAUUAGGUACUUCAGAGAGUAUUUAUAUAGGAGACUCUUAAUUGAUAACUUCUUGAGAAAUAAAGAAAUAUGAUUUUAAUGAGAUUAUUACAAUUUGUGCUCUUGGAGUAGCUGCCCGCUGGUAGUUCUGCCCCCUGCACAGCUUCCACGGUUUUGGAGAUUUAAGCGAGACUAUCAAGGUAUCAUAACUUUUUUCUAGGUUUCAUUUGUAUGUUAACUCAGUGCUGUGAAUUUUGAUGAGCUUUCAGAUAACAGAUGAUGCAUUAACGUAUAGUGGUAUUGGCUGUAAUUGGACACUACCACCAUAUGGUUUGCCACUAUUCUUCUUAGUGUGAAAUUCCACUACUUAGUAAUAGCUAUAUGUUUGUUGUAUUUGUUGAAACCUCAGCUCAGACAUCGA